UUCGCCUAGCCGAGUUCUGCUAGAAGCAAACCGAACCUAAUAUGUGGGCGCCUUAAAGGUACAUUUCAUGGCUGCUCUAUUUCACUAUAUAUGUCUACAUAUCAUAUGCGCCAUAAAAAGGUUGCACUUUCUCACUACACGCAUAUACGAGCGUUUCUGCAUCCACCAGUAGAAACGGGCCAGCUACAUUUCCUGGUUGUAAGCAAACCACAAAGAGAACAGCCCCGUGGAGGUGUAUCGAAUUGAUGUGAGACAUAUCAAAAUGUCUGUUUGUAGCCAGCACUUUCAGCCAGAGGACUUCGAAACAGAACAGUAAUCUCAACUGAUGGGGUUGCCAUGUCAUCAAACUUUGAAAAGUGAUGCUAUUCCAUCGCUGUUCUCCUUCACUUCAAAGAGGAAGGCCAACAGCCAACAUCAGCCAACAUUAGCGCAGUAUAAAAUAAGUCAAACUGAGAGUCCGAUCCCAUCAACACCUGCAGUGGCAUCAACAUCAAGCUCAGUACCAGGAACAUCUAUCACGUAAAAUCUUACUAAAAUCGCACAGAAAA